rnacentral:rRNA from 1 species
AUACGGAGGGUGCAAGCGUUACUCGGAAUCACUGGGCGUAAAGCGCGCGCAGGCGGGCUGAUAAGUUGGAUGUGAAAGCCUACGGCUCAACCGUAGAACUGCAUCCAAAACUGUCAGUCUAGAGUCUGGGAGGGGAAGAUAAAAUUAGUUGUGUAGGGGUAAAAUCCGUAGAGAUAACUAGGAAUACCAAAAGCGAAGGCGAUCUUCUGGAACAGUACUGACGCUGAGGCGCGAAAGCGUGGGGAGCAAACAGGAUUAGAUACCCUAGUAGUCC